UGAUAUAAUAUAAUUUGGAAUAAGGAUAUAAGAGAGGUAUAAUGAUUUCAAUCCAAUAAUACUUCAAGUACCUUUGAGAACCUUUCUGAAUGAUAUGAAAAUGAAAUACAAGUACUUUGUAAAAAAUCAUAGCACACCACUAUCUUAGAUUAAGCUACUUUAAGAAAGUACUACUUUCUUUUACAAGUGAUACAAUAUGAUUUGGAAUAAGGAUAUGAGAGAGGUAUAAUAUUUCAAUCCAAUAAUACUUCAAGUACCUUUGAGAACCUUUCUGAAUGAUAUGAAAAUGAAAUACAAGUACUUUGUAAAAAAUCAGAAUUUUGUUCAAAGUUGUUCAAGGAUUGAUUCAAGGAAUGUGUGUAGUUUGAUCUGAAGUUAUGGUGUAUUUAUACUCCAUAAACAUCUCUUUAGAUUCGUGGCCAUUGAUCCAAGAGGUUUGAUGAACAAAUACAAUGAUCUAGAACCAUUUCAGAUUUGAAAAAUUGUAUUGCUUCCAGUUGUAUUCGAAUACAGGAUGUAUGUAUUUGAAUACACCUCUUCGUAACGUUCAGAUUUAUUCAAAAUUUGCACCUUGUAUUCCAAUACAUCUUUCAUGUAGUCGAAUACAGAUUCGUGAUUUUUGCCACUAACUUGCUUUGUAUUCGGCUACAACAGGUCGUAGUCGAAUACAGAUUCGAAGGUUUAGCUACUGACUAGCUGUGUGUAUUCGACUACAGCAGGUCGUAGUCGAAUAUAGAUUUAAAAGUUUAGCUACUGACUUGCUGUGUGUAUACGACUACAGCUGGUCAUAGUUGAAUACAAAUGUGAAGCUUUUGC
rnacentral:lncRNA from 1 species